rnacentral:rRNA from 1 species
AAGGCUAAAUACUAACUAGUGACCGAUAGUGAACCAGUACCGUGAGGGAAAGGUGAAAAGAACCCCGGGAGGGGAGUGAAAAGAAUCUGAAACUGUAUGCUUACAAUAAGUCAGAGCCCGUUAAAGGGUGAUGACGUGCCUAUUGAAGAAUGAACCGGCGAGUUAUGUUUGCGUGCGAGGUUAAGUCGUAGAGACGGAGCCGUAGUGAAAGCGAGCCUGAAUAGGGCGAUUUAGUACGUAGACAUAGACCCGAAGCCCGACGAUCUAUCCAUGAGCAGGUUGAAGGUGAGGUAAAACUUACUGGAGGACCGAACCGACGUUCGUUGAAACGCCCGCGGAUGACUUGUGGAUAGGGGAGAAAUUCCAAUCGAGUCGGGGGAUAGCUGGUUCUCCCCGAAAUAGCUCUAGGGCUAGCGUAAGGUUUUAACUGGUGGAGGUAGAGCACUGAAUGUAUGAUGGCCGCAUUAGCGGUACUGAUUGCAAUCAAACUCCGAAUGCCAUCAGCGGUAUCCUUGCAGUCAGAGUGUGGGGGAUAAGCUCCAUGCUCAAAAGGGAAACAGCCCAGACCGUCAAUUAAGGUCCCUAAAUUUAUGCUAAGUGUUAAACGAUGUAGAGAUGCAUAAACAACUAGGAUGUUGGCUCAGAAGCAGCCACCAUUUAAAGAGUGCGUAACAGCUCACUAGUCGAGUGCCUCCGCGCGGAAGAUUUACCGGGGCUAAGCAUAAUACCGAAGUUACGGAUUUUAGUUCUACUAAAGUGGUAGGGGAGCGUUCCAUACGGGGCGAAGCAAGAUCGAAAGGACUUGUGGACUGUAUGGAAGUGAGUAUGCCGGUGUAAGUAACGAUGAUAUGUGAGAAUCAUAUCCACCAAUUGACUAAGGUUUCCUGGGGAAGGGUCGUCCUCCCAGGGUUAGUCGGGUCCUAAGGCGAGGCCGAAAGGCGUAGUCGAUGGAUAACAGGUUGAUAUUCCUGUACCCGUAUAUAUGUGAUGUAAUGACAGAGAUGGUUAACCGUACCAAUUAUUGGAUUUUGGACCAAGCGAGGUAGCUUGUGUGUAGGCAAAUCCGCACACUUUAAGGCAAAUACGUGAUGGGGAGCGAAUGGAUUCGUCCUAGUAGCGAAGUCGGUGAUACCAGCUUUCAAGAAAAGUUGCUAACUAUAGUAUAUACGGCCCGUACCGAGAACGGACACACGUGGUCAAGAUGAGUAAUCUGAGGUGAGCGAGAUAACUGUUGUUAAGGAACUCUGCAAAAUUACUUCGUAAGUUCGCAAGAAGAAGUGCUCUCGCAAGAGAGUCGCAGUGAAGAGGCCCAAGUAACUGUUUACCAAAAACACAGCUCUAUGCCAAGCCGCAAGGCGAUGUAUAUGGGGUGAUGCCUGCCCAGUGCUGGAAGGUUAAAAGGAGGAGUGCAAGCUCUGAAUUGAAGCCCCAGUGAACGGCGGCCGUAACUAUAACGGUCCUAAGGUAGCGAAAUUCCUUGUCAGGUAAGUUCUGACGCGCAUGAAUGGUAUAAUAAUUUGGGCGCUGUCUCGACAGCAGACUCGGUGAAAUCUUAUUACCUGUGAAGAUGCAGGUUACCCGCGACUAGACGGAAAGACCCCAUGGAGCUUUACUAUAACUUAAUAUUGAAUAAUUGAGAUUCAUGCACAGGAUAGGUAGGAGACUUUGAGACCGGGGCUUUGGCUUCGGAGGAGUCGACGUUGGGAUACUACUCUUGAAUUUCGAUUACUCUAACUCACUCCCUUACCGGCGAGGAGGACAGUGUUAGGCGGGUAGUUUGACUGGGGCGGUCGCCUCCCAAAAUGUAACGGAGGCGCCCAAAGGUACCCUCAAUAUGGUUGGAAAUCAUAUUUCGAGUGCAAUGGCAUAAGGGUGCUUGACUGCGAGACAAACAAGUCGAGCAGGGACGAAAGUCGGGCAUAGUGAUCUGGCGGUUUCAUUGUGGAAUGGCCGUCACUCAACGGAUAAAAGCUACCCUGGGGAUAACAGGCUGAUCUGGUCCAAGAGUUCACAUCGACGACCAGGUUUGGCACCUGUUCGCCAAUUAAAGUGGUACGCGAGCUGGGUUCAAAACGUCGUGAGACAGUUUGGUCCCUAUCUGUCGUGGGCGUAGGAAGUUUGAAAGGAGCUGUCCCUAGUACGAGAGGACCGGGAUGGACAUAGCAAUGGUAUAUCGGUUGUCACGCCAGUGGCAUGGCCGGGUAGCUACCUAUGGAAUGGAUAAACGCUGAAAGCAUCUAAGCGUGAAGCCAACCUUAAGAUGAGACUUCCCAUUCGCAAGAAGUAAGACCCCUUCAAAGUUAGAAGGUUGAUAGGUUAGAAGUGUAAGUGUUGUGAGGCAUUUAGCUGACUAAUACUAAUAGGUCGAGGACUUAAUUUC